AUUUUAUUUUUUUAUAAAUAAAAACUAUCAUACUAUAAUGUCCGGACGAGGACCUUGACAUUACAAACCAGAAUUAUGGCAUCCAAAUCUUCAACAAAACUUGCUCUUUUCACUGUCCUCCUCCUCUUGUUUACCAUUGUUGCAACGUCUGGAAGGGUAGAACCAGAGGCGAUAGAAGAAGUACUAGUAGGUGAUGAAGGAGCAAUGGCAACAAUAGAGCUAUUAGUGCUGCAGCACCAGCAAAAUGACAGAUGCACAUAUUAUCGUUGUCACUCUGAUUCUCAUUGCAAAAAGUUUUAUUGCUCUAGAUGUUCUUCGGACAUCGUGGGUAGGGGUGUUUGUAUGACUUAAUUGUACCAACAUGUGUAAUAUGCCCUUGGGAGAGAGCCUGGGCUGGUACUUUCACAUACCGUAGUUUUCUUUUAAAUAAAAGGCAAUGUCUCUCCCUUGUAUCAAGAAGACUCGAUAGUCAUGUGUUUUUACCAAAGGCAACUUCUCUUUUGCCCCUCCAUCAUCA